CCUACGGGUGGCAGCAGUGAGGAAUAUUGGUCAAUGGGCGGAAGGCUGAACCAGCGAAGCCGCGUGAAGGACGAAGGUGUUCAGCAUGUAAAACUCUUUUUGCCAAGAGAAAAAAUCAGGCUGUAGAUGCUGACCGAGGGUCCUCGAAGAAAAAGCAUCGGCUAACUCCAUGCCAGCAGCCGCGGUAAUACGGAGGAUGCGAGGGUUAUCCGGAUUUAUUGGGUUUAAAGGGUGCGUAGGCGGGAUGUAAAGUCAGCGAUAAAAGACCGGGGCUAAACCCCGGCGAGCCGUUGAAACUGGCGAUCUUGAGAGGGCGAGAGGUAUGCGGAAUGCGGAGUGUAGCGGUGAAAUGCUUAGAUAUUACGCAGAACUCCGAUUGCGAAGGCAGCAUACCGGCGUCGAACUGACGCUGAGGCACGAAAGCGUGGGUAUCGAACAGGAUUAGAUACCCCAGUAGUC
rnacentral:rRNA from 1 species